rnacentral:rRNA from 1 species
UACGAAGGGGGCUAGCGUUGCUCGGAAUUACUGGGCGUAAAGGGCGCGUAGGCGGAUAGCUUAGUCAGAGGUAAAAGCCCAGGGCUCAACCUUGGAACUGCCUUUGAUACUGGCUAUCUUGAGUACGGGAGAGGUGUGUGGAACUCCGAGUGUAGAGGUGAAAUUCGUAGAUAUUCGGAAGAACACCAGUGGCGAAGGCGACACACUGGCCCGUUACUGACGCUGAGGCGCGAAAGCGUGGGGAGCAAACAGG